AACGAACGCUGGCGGCAGGCCUAACACAUGCAAGUCGAACGGACCCUUCGGGGUUAGUGGCGCACGGGUGAGUAACGCGUGGGAACGUGCCCUUAGGUACGGAACAACAGUUGGAAACGACUGCUAAUACCGUAUGAUGACGUAAGUCCAAAGAUUUAUCGCCUAAGGAUCGGCCCGCGUUAGAUUAGAUAGUUGGUGAGGUAAUGGCUCACCAAGUCUACGAUCUAUAGCUGGUCUCAGAGGAUGAUCAGCCACACUGGAACUGAGACACGGUCCAGACUCCUACGGGAGGCAGCAGUGAGGAAUAUUGGACAAUGGGCGAAAGCCUGAUCCAGCCAUGCCGCGUGAAUGAUGAAGGCCUUAGGGUUGUAAAGUUCUUUUAGUAGUGAAGAUGAUGACGGUAACUACAGAAAAAGCUCCGGCUAACUUCGUGCCAGCCGCCGCCGUAA
rnacentral:rRNA from 1 species